UUGAAAACAAAAAAACCAAGUUCUCUUUUUCCCGUUUUCUUCUACGCCCCCCACCCAAACCCUUUGAUGUACUCUCAAGCCUCAACCUCUCAAGAUUUCCAAUUGGAGUAACUAAUUUAACGCCCUACAAUGCCGACAACACGCUUCACAUCUCAAGUGGUUUUUUUUAUUGGUAUAACCACAAUAUCUCUCUUGUAUUAACCACAUUUUCAUGGCCGAUCCAUGCUUAACCUAAGUUUAUAUCUCGCAUUUUUUGUUUUAUUUAGUUAAUUACAUCUCCCUUUCCUUGAUUUUGUUGAUUAUUUUUCGAUUUGAUUAUGAAUUUGUUGUUUUGUGGAUUGCAAUUGCAGGAGAAUUUGCUUGAUGUUUUUCUAGGGUUUUUGUAGGUGUUUGAUUAAUUGAUGCUCCACCUUCGAGAGCUUGCACUGAUUAUGAUUAUCUUAUCAAGCUCCUUUUAAUCGGCGACAGUAUGGAAUCCAUCCAAACUCAUGCUCACAGUCCACCACCGAAGAGAUAUGCUGUGAUGUAGAUAUUGACAUGAAUGAGAAAACAAAGAUUGGAUCGAGCCAUCAAUGCAUCCAUACGAGUGGAAUUUGACACAGUCUCCUGGAUGGGGGAGAGUCUAUGAUGCUUUUAGUCUCUUGCAGGCUAAGCCUAGUGAUCAGAUUGUCAGUUUCCAAGUUAUGACAAAGUGCAAAUUGACGAAGUAAGAACCGAAUGGGUGCACCGUGUUGUUCAACAAUUGUAUAAUAGCUAGGUUAUGUUGAAUGAACCAAUAAACAUAAGACUAUUAAUUAAUGUAUUUUACGUAGUUUAAUAUUUAGAAUUUUAUUUUAGAUCUAUGUAAUCGGUUUUAUUAGGGUGACAAUUGCAAAAUUUCUUUUAA